CCUACGGGUGGCUGCAGUGGGGAAUAUUGGACAAUGGGGGCAACCCUGAUCCAGCCAUGCCGCGUGUGUGAAGAAGGCCCUCGGGUUGUAAAGCACUUUCAGUGAGGAAGAACGCCUGGUGGUUAAUACCCAUCAGGAAAGACAUCACUCACAGAAGAAGCACCGGCUAACUCCGUGCCAGCAGCCGCGGUAAUACGGAGGGUGCGAGCGUUAAUCGGAAUUACUGGGCGUAAAGCGCGCGUAGGUGGCUUGAUAAGCCGGUUGUGAAAGCCCCGGGCUCAACCUGGGAACGGCAUCCGGAACUGUCAAGCUAGAGUGAAGGAGAGGAAGGUAGAAUUCCCGGUGUAGCGGUGAAAUGCGUAGAGAUCGGGAGGAAUACCAGUGGCGAAGGCGGCCUUCUGGACUGACACUGACACUGAGGUGCGAAAGCGUGGGUAGCAAACAGGAUUAGAUACCCCGGUAGUC
rnacentral:rRNA from 1 species